rnacentral:lncRNA from 1 species
ACUCGAGAAUUAUAUAUAAAUUUUGAAGAUAUAGCUAUAAAUUUGACGUUUGAAUUAGAUUAAUACUUCCAAAUCUAUUAAUCAUUUGUCAAUAUAUAAAAAUUACAUAAAAACUUAUUAAAAAGAAAAAAAAUACAAAAAUAGAAACCACACUAAAUCCAUAAUAAAAACAAUUACAUAUAAAUAUCAACCCUUUUUUUUUAUCUUUAUGACUCCUAGGAGGAAGAAUCUUACGAGUUUCUCAAGAAGGGCACUUUAUCUUUUUGAUAAUUCUUAAUGGCUUCUAUAACUUUGACUGAAAAUGAAUCGUCCUNNNNN